AGUGAACGCUGGCGGCAGGCCUAACACAUGCAAGUCGAACGGCUGCGGGUCCUUCGGGAUGCCGGCGAGUGGCGGACGGGUGAGGAAUACAUGGGAAUCUGCCCAGUCGUGGGGGAUAACGUAGGGAAACUUACGCUAAUACCGCAUGCGACCUUAGGGUGAAAGCGGCGGACCGCAAGGCGUCGCGCGAUUGGAUGAGCCCAUGUCGGAUUAGCUAGUUGGCGGGGUAAAGGCCCACCAAGGCGACGAUCCGUAGCUGGUCUGAGAGGAUGAUCAGCCACACUGGAACUGAGACACGGUCCAGACUCCUACGGGAGGCAGCAGUGGGGAAUAUUGGACAAUGGGCGCAAGCCUGAUCCAGCCAUGCCGCGUGAGUGAAGAAGGCCUUCGGGUUGUAAAGCUCUUUUGUCCGGAAAGAAAAGCUCUCGGUUAAUACCCGGGGGUUCUGACGGUACCGGAAGAAUAAGCACCGGCUAACUUCGUGCCAGCCGCCGCAGUAACAC
rnacentral:rRNA from 1 species